rnacentral:rRNA from 1 species
AUGGAGCCCAAGACGGCUGUUCUUGUCAGCGCAUUGCUUUGCCUGGCGCUCUCCCGCGGCGCCUUGUCCCAGAAGGCACGGGCGCCGAUCGUCGAGGCCCCGGCGCCGGCGCCGGCCCCGCGCUACGUCGAGCUCGCCGAACUGCUCUCCCUCGCCGGGCCGUAUGGCAAGUUCCUGGAGUACCUCACCAUGACCGACGUGAUCAAGACGUUCCAGAGCCAGGCCAACGACACCAAGCAGGGCAUCACCGUCUUCGCGCCCCAGAACUCGGCGUUCGCGGCCCUCAACGAGACCGUGUUGUCCAACCUCACCACCGACCAGCUCCGGUCGCUCAUGCUGCACCACGCCAUGCCCAGGUACUACCCGCUCUCGGCCUUCUCCAAGCUGGCGGCGGCGAGCCCGGUGUCCAUGUACGCGUACAAGGUGAACGUCACAUACGCCGCCGGCACGAUCGGCGUCGUGUCGGGCUGGGCCACCGCCAAGCUCGCCAGCAGCGUGUACUCGACGUCGCCCGUCGCGGUGUACGCGCUCAACAGGGUGCUGCUGCCCAAGGAGAUCUUCCCGGCCACCCCGGAGAUGGCGCCGGCGCCGGCGCCGGGACGUGGGGGCAAGGCGACGGCCGACGCCCCGGGCGCCAGCGAGCGUGCUGCCAGUGACAAUGCGGACGCCAAGAGUUCGUCGUGCCGGGUCGUUGGCGCAGGGAGCCUUGCAUUUGGCUACGUGGUUCUUCUGGUCUCCGGGCUUUUGAUGGCGUAG